rnacentral:rRNA from 1 species
UACGUAGGGUGCGAGCGUUGUCCGGAAUUAUUGGGCGUAAAGAGCUCGUAGGCGGUCUGUCGCGUCUGCUGUGAAAACUCGGGGCUUAACCCCGGGCCUGCAGUGGGUACGGGCAGACUAGAGUGAUGUAGGGGAGACUGGAAUUCCUGGUGUAGCGGUGAAAUGCGCAGAUAUCAGGAGGAACACCGAUGGCGAAGGCAGGUCACUGGGCCGCAACUGACGCUGAGGAGCGAAAGCGUGGGGAGCGAACAGG